rnacentral:rRNA from 1 species
ACGGGUGAGUAACGCGUGGGUAACCUGCCUUGUACUGGGGGACAACAGUUGGAAACGACUGCUAAUACCGCAUAAGCGCACAGCUUCGCAUGAAGCGGUGUGAAAAACUCCGGUGGUACAAGAUGGACCCGCGUCUGAUUAGCUGGUUGGUGAGGUAACGGCCCACCAAGGCGACGAUCAGUAGCCGGCCUGAGAGGGCGAACGGCCACAUUGGGACUGAGACACGGCCCAAACUCCUACGGGAGGCAGCAUG